UAGAAUCUCUGUGGCCAGCUUCUCCACUACUGAGGCCUCCUGUUUCACAUUGUGCAUUGAUCCGAAAUCAAUCACUUGCAUGUCUGGCCGGGCUUCAGUGAU